rnacentral:rRNA from 1 species
CCUACGGGCGGCAGCAGUGGGGGAUAUUGCACAAUGGGGGGAACCCUGAUGCAGCGACGCCGCGUGGGUGAAGAAGCGCCUCGGCGCGUAAAGCCCUGUCAGCAGGGAAGAAAAUGACGGUACCUGAAGAAGAAGCCCCGGCUAACUACGUGCCAGAAGCCGCGGUACUACGUAGGGGGCAAGCGUUAUCCGGAUUUACUGGGUGUAAAGGGGGCGCAGACGGGGAUGCAAGCCAGGAGUGAAAGCACGGGGCCCAACCCCGGGAAUGCACUUGGAACUGGGUGGCUGGAGUGCAGGAGGGGCAGGCGGAAUUCGUGGUGUAGCGGUGAAAUGCGUAGAUAUCAGGAGGAACACCGGUGGCGAAGGCGGCCUGCUGGACUGCAACUGACGUUGAGGCCCGAAAGCGUGGGGAGCAAACAGGAUUAGAUACCCGAGUAGUC